CACGUCAGCGCGUUAUGCUGACGUGGACACAAAUCGCAUUCUGAAGGCCGCGCUUUGUUGCCACGUAAGCAAAGCGCGCUGACGUGG
rfam:Gossypium raimondii Chr03_contig_851, whole genome shotgun sequence.